AUGGGGGAUUUUCUUGUCUCUAUGCCUAGAAGUGAGAAAACUCAGAUUCUUAGUGCUAAGACAAAAAUGGUAUUUGACCCGGGAUUUGUGGUCUUCCUUUUGUUAUUUACAGGGAAUUCAAAAGGACAAGAUGACAGCGAGAAUCCACCCAGUUUGAUGAAGGCUCAUUCCAGAAUGUACCCCUUCCCCUGGGAUACUUGGUGGGGUUAUGGAGGAAGAGCAGGUCCUGAGUACUGGGGUGAAGCGUACGCUGGUAACUGGCACAUGUGUUCUAAGGGGAAGCAGCAGUCUCCCAUCAACAUCGAGCCCGAUCUACUCCUCUAUGAUAGUAACCUAGGGCGUCUGGUCGUCAACUCUCCCCCUGUGCAGGGUAAACUACAGAAUACAGGAAAUGAUAUCACAUUGACCCUUAUGAAUGACGUCAAGAACCAGGUCAACGUCACUGGUGGUCCCCUCUCUUAUAUGUUCCGAAUCACAGAUGUCAAAUUUCAUUUCGGAAGAAGACAACGAGCGUCCGAACACCAGAUAAACAACAAAUCGUUUACAGCAGAGAUGCACAUAAUAGGAUACAAUUCUGAGGUUUACAAAACAAUGGACGAGGCUGUAAAUGGCGUAAGGGGCCUCGUUGCUAUUGCUGUUUUUAUUGAGAUAGGACUGGUAUCGAAUUAUCCAUUGGAGUUAAUAACAAAGCGACUGAGGAAUAUACCAACAAAAGGUAACAACACGAACAUUAGUGGCUUCACACUGACUGACCUUAUUCCCAACACCACGGAGUAUAUGACGUAUGAAGGAUCGUUAACGAUACCCGGAUGUCAAGAGAGUGUGACGUGGAUAAUAUUUAACAAACCAAUUUACCUAUCUGCUGAUCAGAUGAAGCUCUUCCAAACUGUACCAGAGAUGCGUUGGAUUCACACAAACACCAGGGCGGUGAUGCCAUUAAACCAGAGAGUCAUUAGAACUAAUAUCAAUGUCAAACAGAAAAAUGACAUUUGCUCCAUAGAACAGCAUUUCAGCUACAAAGUAAAUGAAAUGUUCACUUCAUGACAAGGGGAAUAAUUCUUGCGAGUCAUACGCCCAUUGCGAGAAAGAGUCCCUGCAAAUACGGAGAUCAGCCGGAUAGUAACAGCAGAUCGAAGCUCGAGUUUCAUCUGACAUUGGUGCUAUGAAACCCUGUGGUGUUUGGCAUUUAUCAGUAUUCACGCUUUAUCUGGCGCGCUCCUUCAGAAGAAUGCUGACACUACCCGGUGCUGUAUUCGAACGCUCCCUGUAUGCAAAUCUGUUAUAAAUGUGAAUAGUGUGUGGAUUUUUCAGAGAAACAGGUGCUAUAUCGCGUGAAGUAGGAGGAUAAUUAUGAUACACCCACGCUUUUGUGAAGCAUUACCUUAGUAUUCCAUCUAUUACAUGUAAUAAUAAACAGCUUAAGUUUGGUAUCCUGUCAUUUUUUUCUUUUGUUUGUUUUGUAUCAAAAUACAUGUAUGUGUACAUGUAUGUACUAUUUUAUUGUUUCUUUUUUAACAUGUACACAUGUAAAUUUGCUAUACGCAGGACCUUUGUUGCGAGUACUCGAUUUGUUAGACUUUCAAGUUUAUUUAAUAUGUUACGAACUUUUUUUCAAAUUGUUUGCACGUAUUGAUUUUAACAUUUACUUGUUAUGUAAAAUAGAUAUUAUAAUAUUAUAAUGUAUGAAACAAAAUUACUAUGAAUAUAAAAUAAACAAUACAUACAUUU
rnacentral:misc_RNA from 1 species